UUUGAUCCUGGCUCAGGAUGAACGCUAGCGGCAGGCUUAAUACAUGCAAGUCGAGGGGCAGCACGUCUUCGGAUGGUGGCGACCGGCAAACGGGUGCGUAACACGUACGCAACCUUCCCGUUACUGUGGGAUAGCCCAGGGAAACUUGGAUUAAUACCACAUAUUGUGUAUAGGAGGCAUCUCCUUUAUACCAAAGAAUUUCGGUAACGGAUGGGCGUGCGGUUGAUUAGGUAGUUGGCGGGGUAACGGCCCACCAAGCCAACGAUCAAUAGCUGAUGUGAGAGCAUGAUCAGCCACACGGGCACUGAGACACGGGCCCGACUCCUACGGGAGGCAGCAGUAAGGAAUAUUGGGCAAUGGACGCAAGUCUGACCCAGCCAUGCCGCGUGAAGGAUGACGGCCCUACGGGUUGUAAACUUCUUUUCUCUGGGGCGAAAACCUCCCAUUCUUGGGAAUUUGACAGUACCAGAGGAAUAAGCACCGGCUAACUCCGUGCCAGCAGCCGCGGUAAUACGGAGGGUGCAAGCGUUAUCCGGAUUCACUGGGUUUAAAGGGUGCGUAGGUGGGUCUGUAAGUCAGUGGUGAAAUCCCCGAGCUCAACUUGGGAACUGCCGUUGAUACUAUA
rnacentral:rRNA from 1 species